UCUGCGCGCUCGGCGCCGCCAGAAGCCCCUUCACCUCACAAAUCAUUUAUUUGUGGCUGGAAAAUAAUCUCUAGUCCUCCCAGAGCUGCUCAGCGGAUACAUUUGAGCUCCAGCUCCACAGAAACCUACCUUGAUCGAUCAAGAUAAUUGUGGGCUGGAGUGCAGUACUGUGAGUUUCUGCACAGACUAUCCAUGAUCCCCAGGGAACACGGCUACUCCCUUGCACGGGCAGCUCGUGUGACAUCUCUGCUACAGCGACUUCGCAACGCUUGAGCAAAGAGAGAAGCAACUGCUUUGAUGAAAGAGCAUGCUGGUCAUUUUGAAUAGGAGUUUAUGAUAUGCUGGCCAUGAAGCAGAGACUGUGUCUUUGGACAUCUUUACCAUAUAUUACCAGAAAGUAGGGACAAAAGAUGAUUUUGGCUCAAUUAUUUUUUACCAUAAAAACUGCAAAUAUAUUACCUGUGCUAAUGAUAUCAUCUGGCAACUCAUCUCCACAAAACCUGGAAAAAAAUAGAAAUGGUCAUGACUAAAUGACACGGCAAAUAUGCCAUAGCCCCACUACAUGGGGACCUACACCGAACGGUGGCUUUUGUGCUGUACUCUCCUUUGGGGCUGUGGCUCAUGGGACUAAAUUCGUUAUAGGUAUUCAGUGUAUGUAAUUCUCUGCUAUAUGUUAAAGCAAUUGCCUGAAGAAUUUUUGUCAUUAUCUUAUAGUAAAGUUUAGGGGAGGGAAAAAUGCAGGAAACAUUUUUCAAUAUAUGCAGGAAGUAAAUGAUGCAAACCAAGAAAAAGAGCAAUUUAACAAGGUGUUAAAGACAAGAACAAUGGCUCAAGGCUAAGAAAAGAAGAACAUUGUCAACAAAAACAUUUAAAAAUAUCAGUAAAGACAAAACAAAUGGACUAUAUCCUCACUUUGCUACACAGGAUUUGAAGAGAGGAUGUGAAAAGUGGCAGGAAUUGGGAAGUGGUUUUUAUCACUUUUUCUGGUUUAUAUUUUGUUCUGGAAAAUUGAGGUACUUCAUACCAAAAUAUGAGUGCUAAAGGACAAGCAAAAAUGUGACAUUGAAGAAAAGAAAGUGAGAAUUAAGCUAAGAGGGAAACUAAAUCUACUAAGAGAGAUGAUAUAUAAUAUUUGUUCUAUUCUGAUAUUGUUAGAAAAUAUUUUACUUCUGUAGCGAAUAGUAACUUAAGUACAUUUCUGCUAACAGUUUAACACCCCACCUCCCUUCUUUCAAUUAAAGCAAAUACAAAAUACUGUUUGAGAUUGCUAGGAGUUCUUCCUGUAAAAUAACAGAGAACUAAGAUAAGCGGCUAACUAAAAAGUCUUGCAGCAUUCUUUCAUGUAAUUUAACAAAGCAGAAAAGGGCAAAGCGCAGUUCUCUGGAACUCUUUACAGGUCUGUGUUAAUGACAGUAAAUUGCCGGGAAAGAUUAAGUCAGGUACUAUUGCUACAAGUCUUAUGGGCACAUCAGAGGUGCUAACUGGAUAAGGUAAUCCAGUGUUCUUCUGAUGUAAUGUUCAGGGGAAAAAAAUUACAUCAUUUGAUUAUUUGCAUAUUAAAGCUGGAAUUACUUUACCUGCCCACAAAGCCAUUGAUGUCAUCAUAGCUAUCAUAGAUUUCCAAGAAAUCAGCCAUACAAGCAGUGUCGUCUUCAACAUCGAACUCUAGAAACUGUAGAUGAAUACGUUGUCCAUACUUUACUCUAAUAUGCCAGUAGCAAAUUUGAUCAUUUUCAUACUCAUUUGGGUAGCCUGGUGACUUAAAAACAUGUUUUGAAUCUGUGAAGACUCCACCACAUUCUUUUCCUAAAAGAAAAAUAAAAAGAACAGAAUUGAAGUUAAGUUCUGG